rnacentral:lncRNA from 1 species
UUCAACAAUUCAUCAAUAAGCUUUAAUCACUUUGCAUAUAAGUCACUGACAGUGCAUUUAAUUCAGUUGUACUUUAGCAUCACAUGAGCUGCAUUUAAAUUCAAAUACUGCAAUGAUACAGUCAUCGGAAAUGCAGAGCCUUCAAAAUCUUUGACUUUCAAAAGGUCAAUUUUUCAAAUGUUGGUAAGAAAAGUCUGAUAUCAUGGUCCUUUUGUUUGCACAUCUACUUAUCAAAUAAUGGCUUUUCAAAUUAUGCUAUCAUUAGGUACAUACGUAUCCUCUGUAUUCAUUUGGAUUAACUGAGUUCCCCCAGAUCAAAUUCCCUCCUGGCUUAUUUGCAUUGCAUGCAUCCUUGGGCUGAGGGAAGCUCACUGCUGAGCUCUCACACCUCUGAGGAACAAAGGGGGUCAUGCAACAAUGCUGACAUGUUCACCAGGAAAAGCACCCACCUCAGCUGCAUGUCUGUUGUUCCUCAUCGGUGUUUUCUGCUGAGGUUGCAAAACAUCCGCAAUUGCUACUUCCUCUUUCUCUCUUCCUCGCCCACAGCAGUUGUCACUGGCACAGUAACAAACCUACCAGGAUGAGGAGGGUGAAGGGUGCUCUCCAGUCACGCUUUCUGCUCAGCUGUGACUUUUACCCUUCCUCUACUCCCCCAGAUUAUUUACAUUUUUCAUUAUCAACAGUCCAUCAUAAUAAGGUGAGAGAAGGCACUAAAAGCAUUUUGCAAUAUGUCUUAGUAAACAUUUGAGUCACUGUGGUCUCGUGGUUAAAAUUUUGAAUAGGCUCCUAUUCUAAAACCUAAGCAGUAGGCUUCAAGAAGUGUAACUGGGACUCACCAUUCCUUUUUUACCAAGUAAUUUUUCUCCUAGGUUCACAUGUGCCUCAACAGGGCACUUCACCUGGUAAAGACUUAAGUCUGGACAUCUCCAAACAUCUUAUAGAAGACAGUUCAAUGUUAAACCCGUUGUAUAGAUGAGGAAUGUGAAAAUGUUAGGACUAGAUUGUACACUUAUUAAACAAAACACUCAGAAUUUGUAUGGACACCUCUACCAACACUUUUACAUGGCUAUUGAUAGCAAUUCUGUGCAAGGGUGCCGAAACUUCCUGUGCAGGCAUGCUGAGGAUAUUCCACAGGUUUCUGCUUUGUCAUAAGGGACCCUUCUAAAUUUUUCUUGAUUAAUAAGACAAUGUCAUCUAUGGUAUUGUCAAUAAUAUUUAAGCUCAUCACCACAACCAGAAAUUUGUUUUCCUCUUAUACUGAAACCA